GGCUUUAUAGUAUAAAAAUACAUUGGAUUGCAAGUUUAAAGAUGUGUCGAACACUAGGGGUU
rnacentral:tRNA from 1 species